rnacentral:lncRNA from 1 species
AAAUAUUUAAAAUCUUAAAUUGUUAGCAUUUAAAAAGGUACAGAAGAUAUUAAUACUAAUACUUAAUAUAGUUCUUUCAUCAAAGAAUGUAGUUAUUAAAUGAUGGUUCCGUUUGGUCGCCACUAAAAGUGGCCACCUUGAUUUUCUAUAGCAACAUGGGAUCAGGUCAUUCGUUUCGGUAGAAUCGUGCGUAUUAACAAAAAACCAG